rnacentral:misc_RNA from 1 species
GGCAGGGGCAGGGGCAGCGGCAGGGGCUGGUGCUGGGGAGGGAGCUGCUGCAGGCGAUGCAACUGGGACUUGAGCAGCUGUAGAUGCAGGAGUUGAACUAGGUGCUGCCGUACUUGACUGUGGUGUCUUAGCUGUUGCUGCAGUUGAAGUAGCUGAACCUUCUCCAGCUGAGCUCUUACUCUUUGUCAGCAUGAUUACUAUAAAGUUGCUUUCAGCAACUUUAUUUUCUUCGAGUGUUGUCCCAUCUUUAAGUACCUUCCCCUGGUGGAUAAGCAUCUGCUGGGCAGCAGGAUAUACAUCUGAACCCUGAACUGUUUCUAUGUUCUUCUUCACAUCGGCAACCGUAUCUUCAGGUUUGACUUCAAUUUCAAAGUGAGAGCCUUUGAGAGUUUUCACAAAAAUCUUCAUAUCUGUUAUUCCGUCACCGGAAAGUUUGAUCGCCGACCGACGAGAGGGAGAGGACGACGGAGAGCCCAACGGUGAAGGAAGAAUAAUGUAG